CAGUCGCCGCGGUAACACGUAGGGUGCGAGCGUUAAUCGGAAUUACUGGGCGUAAAGGGAGCGUAGGCGGCGUGGUAAGUCAGAUGUGAAAUCCCGGGGCUCAACCCCGGAACUGCAUCCGAUACUGCCAUGCUAGAGGAUUGGAGAGGUAGCUGGAAUUCUUGGUGUAGCAGUGAAAUGCGUGGAGAUCAAGAGGAACACUCGUGGCGAAAGCGAGCUACUGGACGAUAACUGACGCUGAGGCUCGAAGGCCAGGGUAGCGAAAGGGAUUAGAUACCCCUGUAGUCCCUGUCUCUUAUAC
rnacentral:rRNA from 1 species